GUUUGUCGCGUCGGUCGUGAAAACUUGGGGCUUAACUCUGAGCUUUGCGGUCGAUACGGGCAUGACUGGAGUUCGGCAGGGGGAGACUGGAAUUCCUGGUGUAGCGGUGAAAUGCGCAGAUAUCAGGAGGAACACCGGUGGCGAAGGCGGGUCUCUGGGCCGAUACUGACGCUGAGGAGCGAAAGCGUGGGGAGCGAACAGGAUUAGAUACCCUGGUAGUCCACGCCGUAAACGUUGGGCGCUAGGUGUGGGGGCCAUUCCACGGUCUCUGUGCCGCAGCUAACGCAUUAAGCGCCCCGCCUGGGGAGUACGGCCGCAAGGCUAAAACUCAAAGGAAUUGACGGGGGCCCGCACAAGCGGCGGAGCAUGUGGAUUAAUUCGAUGCAACGCGAAGAACCUUACCUGGGUUUGACAUGCACCAGACAUCCCUAGAGAUAGGGCUUCCCUUGUGGUUGGUGUGCAGGUGGUGCAUGGUUGUCGUCAGCUCGUGUCGUGAGAUGUUGGGUUAAGUCCCGCAACGAGCGCAACCCUUGUUCCAUGUUGCCAGCACGUAAUGGUGGGGACUCAUGGGAGACUGCCGGGGUCAACUCGGAGGAAGGUGGGGAUGACGUCAAAUCAUCAUGCCCCUUAUGUCCAGGGCUUCACACAUGCUACAAUGGCCAGUACAGAGGGCUGCGAGACCGUGAGGUGGAGCGAAUCUCUUAAAGCUGGUCUCAGUUCGGAUUGGGGUCUGCAACUCGACCCCAUGAAGUUGGAGUCGCUAGUAAUCGCAGAUCAGCAACGCUGCGGUGAAUACGUUCCCGGGCCUUGUACACACCGCCCGUCACGUCACGAAAUAU
rnacentral:rRNA from 1 species